GAUGAACGCUGGCGGCGUGCCUAAUACAUGCAAGUCGAGCGAACGGACGAGAAGCUUGCUUCUCUGAUGUUAGCGGCGGACGGGUGAGUAACACGUGGAUAACCUACCUAUAAGACUGGGAUAACUUCGGGAAACCGGAGCUAAUACCGGAUAAUAUUUUGAACCGCAUGGUUCAAAAGUGAAAGACGGUCUUGCUGUCACUUAUAGAUGGAUCCGCGCUGCAUUAGCUAGUUGGUAAGGUAACGGCUUACCAAGGCAACGAUGCAUAGCCGACCUGAGAGGGGGAUCGGCCACACUGGAACUGAGACACGGUCCAGACUCCUACGGGAGGCAGCAGUAGGGAAUCUUCCGCAAUGGGCGAAAGCCUGGCGGAGCAACGCCGCGUGAGUGAUGAAGGUCUUCGGAUCGUAAAACUCUGUUAUUAGGGAAGAACAUAUGUGUAAGUAACUGUGCACAGCUUGACGGUACCUAAUCAGAAAGCCACGGCUAACUACGUG
rnacentral:rRNA from 1 species